GUUAAGGUGGCAGAAUGAUGUGAAGGAUUUAAGAUCCUUUUAUGAAAAUAAUUUUAUAUUUUUUCUUAACA
rnacentral:tRNA from 1 species